rnacentral:rRNA from 1 species
UUGGGAGCUCUCCCAUAUGGUCGACCUGCAGGCGGCCGCGAAUUCACUAGUGAUUAGAGUUUGAUCAUGGGUCAGAAUCAACGCUGGCGGCGUGCCUAACACAUGCAAGUCGAACGCGAAAGUCCCGCAAGGGAUCAGUAGAGUGGCAAACGGGUGAGUAACACGUGGGUAACCUGCCCUGAUGACUGGGACAACCCGGGGAAACUCGGGCUAAUACCGGAUGUGCUGCUCCCACACCAGUGGGAAUAGGAAAGGAAGCUUCGGCCUCCGCAUCAGGAUGGGCCCGCGGCCCAUUAGCUUGUUGGUGAGGUAACGGCUCACCAAGGCUUCGAUGGGUAGCUGGUCUGAGAGGACGAUCAGCCACACUGGGACUGAGACACGGCCCAGACUCCUACGGGAGGCAGCAGUGGGGAAUAUUGGACAAUGGGCGAAAGCCUGAUCCAGCCAUGCCGCGUGAGUGAAGAAGGCCUUCGGGUUGUAAAGCUCUUUCGACGGGGACGAUGAUGACGGUACCCGUAUAAGAAGCCCCGGCAAACUUCGUGCCAGCAGCCGCGGUAAUACGAAUCGAAUUCCCGCGGCCGCCAUGGCGGCCGGAAGCA